UGCAGUCGACGGUAAGGCCCUUCGGGGUACACGAGUGGCGAACGGGUGAGUAACACGUGGGUGAUCUGCCCUGCACUCUGGGAUAAGCCUGGGAAACUGGGUCUAAUACCGGAUAGGAGCUCCUGUCGCAUGGCGGGGGUUGGAAAGGUUUACUGGUGCAGGAUGGGCCCGCGGCCUAUCAGCUUGUUGGUGGGGUAAUGGCCUACCAAGGCGACGACGGGUAGCCGGCCUGAGAGGGCGACCGGCCACACUGGGACUGAGACACGGCCCAGACUCCUACGGGAGGCAGCAGUGGGGAAUAUUGCACAAUGGGCGAAAGCCUGAUGCAGCGACGCCGCGUGAGGGAUGACGGCCUUCGGGUUGUAAACCUCUUUCAGCAGGGACGAAGCGAGAGUGACGGUACCUGCAGAAGAAGCACCGGCCAACUACGUGCCAGCAGCCGCGGUAAUACGUAGGGUGCGAGCGUUGUCCGGAAUUACUGGGCGUAAAGAGCUCGUAGGCGGUUUGUCGCGUCGUCCGUGAAAACUUGGGGCUCAACCCCAAGCUUGCGGGCGAUACGGGCAGACUUGAGUACUGCAGGGGAGACUGGAAUUCCUGGUGUAGCGGUGAAAUGCGCAGAUAUCAGGAGGAACACCGGUGGCGAAGGCGGGUCUCUGGGCAGUAACUGACGCUGAGGAGCGAA
rnacentral:rRNA from 2 species